rnacentral:rRNA from 1 species
AAAGAUCGAAUGGGGAGAUUCAUCGUCAACCUCUUUGGCUUACGUGUGGGUGCGAUGAUCGGGACCUCGGUCUCGCGUCACGCGCUCGCUGCGGCAUGUCCGGAGGGGUCGGCGUGCACUUCUCCCCUAGUAGGACGUCGCGACCCGUUGGGUGCUUGUCUACGGUCCGGUUGGUCGACUGGCGAGUCACGUGCAAACGCGAUCUCGCCAGACCACUGGUUUGCCCGAUUGGCUGCCCGACGGUAUUGAACGAUAAUUAACAUGGUAUUGGGCCGCACAAAGUGCGUUCAGGCCCGUCGUCAGGCUCGUCUCGCUCGGAUUUUCGAACCUGGUUUCGUUGUCGAGUGCUUGACGUGGCUGUUGGGCGACGGUGUCCUCGGACUGGCUCUAAAUAUUCGAACGGAUAUACCUGUCGGCGACGCUACUGCUUUGGGUACUUUCAGGACCCGUCUU